AUGUAAAAUUAGUGUUCAUAGCCGACUCCGGCUAUCAAUGGAAAAUUAUAUUUUCAACACACAUACCCACCCAGCCAGCAAAAAUGGAUAACAAGAGGAAGCAAGGAAAUAAACCUGAAAGGACUAGAUAAAUCAAUGUUUAUUUUUUAAAGUUUUAAGUUUUUUAACGUCUACUGACGGACACGAAGUGAAUGAAAAUGUUUAAGCAAAACAACACAAUUAUUUAAUUUGUUCUGCUACAUCGCAACUACACGGAUGUAGUUGUCAACAGAAUUUUGACAAACUUAAUUAUUUUCUACGUUAUUUUUACACGUAUUUUACAUUAAAUUAUUUUUUACUCAAGUAAAUAAUAAUAAAUAAUAGGCUAUUUACACUGGGGCUGCUUCAUUCUUUUUCCCUUUACGUGCCGGACACGUUUUUUUUUUUGGAUAUCCAGUGAUCGAAAAGUUUAGAUAUAUAUUUGUUUAUUGGUGGAUGUGUGUAAAACUCUGAAGAAAACGUUUCCGAACAUAAAGUGUGUAUAUUCUUGAUCAGCAUCAAAAUCUGAUUCAUCCACAAUUUUGAAGACACCAGAAAACGCAGCAUCAUAGAAAUCGAAAUCGCCGAAUCUGGGAGAAAAUAAUCUAACAGAAUAUGCCCCUAUGAGAACUAAUUUGAAGGAAAGAAGAGGGAAUGAUAGCCGCCAUAGCUCACAAGGAGUUCGUAAAAGUUGAGGACCACAUUAUUGACGGACUGGACCAAAUAGUGUGGAUGAGAGAGUUUGUCAGGUUGGGAUUGCUGAAAGCACGAAAGAAA